AACCCACUCAGGGAUUCUGGGAUCAAACAAAAGGAGGAACUGAUGGCACAGAAUCCCGAGAACACCUUUUCCUCCCGCUGGGGCUGGGGUGGGAGCAGCUACAACCACACCUGGGAAUAUUUUGCAAACAGAUUCAUGACAGGAAAGUGGGGGGAAAGAAAAAAAGAAAAAGCAAAAUGUCUCGGAUAAAUUCUUCUCAAUGAAUAAUUCCUCCAGCUCUGAUAGCAAUGCAUAAUUACAGCCCGUGCCGGCCUAUUAUGUAUUAGUGGGGGUACUAAUUAGUUAAUGUUUGUACAGCUCCUGGAAGAUGUAAUGUGCUCAGGCAUUAUCAUUAACUAAGCAGAGCAUUCAGGUUUAAAUUCUUUUUAGCAUAACGUGGAGCAGGAUCACCCACACCCUUUCAGAUCAGCAGAAUUGUGAUACCCACUGAUCUCGUCAGGGAGGAAAAUGCACAAAUUAGGGCCUGGGAGGAAGCACCGAGAGCUCCUCGCUGCUGGGCAGAUUAAAAGGAGAGGAUUUACUGGCAGUUUAGAAGAGCCUGCUUUGAAACCGAGGCAGGACGGACACACGCGGGUGGCAGCAGCUGAAGUUUACCAGGGUUUGAUAGAAGCACCCAGCGUGGUUUUUGGGGCUCGUGUGUUUCUGAAGCCAGAAUCAGAUUGAUGCCACGGCUGUAGUUCCUGAUGCUUUAUUUGUGUCCAUCCAUCGCUGCCAGGAUGAGCAUCCCCACAUCCAGUGCAGCGUGGAAAUGAAAAUCAAAUAUUUCACGCUGUGUUGAGUCAGUGCUGGUAAUCUCCUGUGUCUGGAGUCUUCUGGGACUCCACAAAGGUCUCCCAGGGUGGGUUUUUUCAGUGUGUGUGAGAGUGGCUGGGCUCUGUCCCACCCACCCAGAGGGAACAGCCCCAAACCCACCCAGGGUGGGCUCAGGUUGGGGUUUUGAGCCCCCUGCUCUGCUGGGAGCUGUCCCUGCCCCUGCCUGGGUUGGAGCUGGAUUGCCUCUGAAGUCCUCUGCAAUCCAUCCCAUGCAGGAAUAAAUCGAUUUAUUAAAUAAUUCAUUUAUAAAAUGAUUUCUACUCAGUUCAUUUUAAGCAGCAGGUCACAGCCACCAGGGUGAAGUUCAGAGUCAAAACUGCUCCUUUACCUUGGACAAUUGCUUUGAUCACUCAGGUCCAUUUGUGAGCAGAUCCCAGCUGUAAAAAUCAGGGAUCUGGGGAGAACGACACAGAAAUUCAUUUAUAAAUCCAUUUAUUCCUGUAACCCCUCUCGUCAUGGUGCCCCAUUUUGGGGGGGUGCAGCACACGGCCUUGCACUCCCUCUUAGCCCUCAAAAAAGCCCAGAAUCUGGAGGAAAACCAGAGCUCCCACCCCAGCUGGGAAUGGGGACACGAGGGCAGGGAUGGCACGGGGAGAGCAGAGACCUGAACCGAGCCCACCCCAAAACUCCUGAACUAUUCCACUGAAAACUUGCUUCCCCUCCUUCUCCACACACAUCCAGCAAGGCUCAGUAAUCCCUAGCAGCGACUAUAACACCAAAUUAAUUAGCUGUUUAAUUACUUAUAAUUUUAGGAGCGAAAUGACUGCAGAGUCCCGCACAACCACGCGGAUUUAUUUCACUGUACCGGAGCUGGCUCAGCCCACACCCCCGAGCCACAGCUGCUCCCAGAAUUAAACAGGACAAACCCAGAGCACCUCCAAGGAGGUUCCUCCCACUGGAACUUCACCCUGGGCACAAUUCAACCAGGAAAACAUCCCCCAGGCAGCGACAAGGAGAUUCUGGAGGAGAAAGGGAAUCAUGCAAAAUAAGCUCGUCGAUAAGGGGAAAAUAAAGAUUCUGCUCUUCCAGAAAUGCUGAUGGAAAAUGCAGGAAGACACUUGGGCAAUCCCUCCUUGCUGCAGUGAGUUCUGCGCCUCAGCCAAACAAAUUACGAUCCUGAUCCUCGUUUGGCAUUUUUUAAAUUUGCAAACUUGGUUCAAAUGUAGAAAUAUAUUGAUAUAUGAGCAAUUCCAGCAGCAGUGAUUCACAGCAUUUGAAAUCCAGGACAAAAUUCCAUUGCUGUGUGUGUGGAAGGGAGAACUCCUUCCCUGUCCCUUUCAUGACAUGGAGAGGAGAGAGUUUCUGAAAUAAAUAUUGGAGAAUGCAGCAUAAAUCUCUGUGAGAGCAGCUCAGCCAUGGCUAAAAGCAGAGCCAGCUCCACCUGCCCAGCCCAGAACAAGAUUCCCUCAGGAAUUGCAGGCAGCCAUCCACAGGUUCUCUGCUACCUGUGACUUUUACAACUCUCCACCUUUUUUAUUCUCUUUUUUCAUUCUCUUGAGAGCUUGAAAUGCUCUCCCAGCCAAUCCAUCUCCUCCAGUCUGCCCCGUGCUCCAGCUCUCCUCCCCAAAAGUCCUGGAAUUCUCCAGCUUUCAGUCCCACAGGAGCAUUUCCAGACUGAGGUGUUGGGAUCCCUGCAGGAAAACAAUUUCCAGGCUCUCCUGGACCCCGUCCCAGGAGGUUUCAGGUGUUAAAAUGAAAUGCAGGUGUGCAAAUGACUGGUUAAAUAAAUGUACAUGGGACAUCA